rnacentral:rRNA from 1 species
CAUGGAGGGUGAGAAUCCCGUCCGGUUGAUCAAUGCGUUUUACGAUACGUCUUCAAAGAGUCGAGUUGUUUGGGAUUGCAGCUCAAAAUGGGAGGUAAAUUUCUCCUAAGGCUAAAUAUCGGCGAGAGACCGAUAGCGAACAAGUACCGUGAGGGAAAGAUGAAAAGAACUUUGAAAAGAGAGUUAAACAGUACGCGAAAUUGUUGAAAGGGAAACGAUUGAAGCCAGUCGUACCGGCGGGUAAUCAGCCUUUCGGGUAUGAUUCUGUGGAGUGUGAGGAGCUAAACACCUUCAUGCCUGCAUAUUCGUGCUCUUGGGUGUACUUGCUCGUGUGGUAGGUUAACAUCAAUUUCGGAUACCAUAAAAUGGCUGGAGGAAUGUAGCUUCGAUCUCGUAUUGAAGUGUUAUAGCCUUCGGUAGAUGUGGUGAUCGGGAUUGAGGAUUGCAACGGAUACCCUUCGGGGCUACCUGUCUGAUCUCUGAUCGUUGCUCUGGUGCCGAAAGCGUGCUUACGGUUAUCAAAGUCGAUGGUCAGUAGGUUAGAACGGGUUAAAUUCGUUAAGGAUGUUGACGUAAUGG